CUCUCUUUCUCUCUCUCUCUCUCUCUGCUGGAUUCUGGCAUCUGAUUUCCACUCCUACUCUCUCUUUCUUCUCCACCCGCCCGGACUGGAGUUUCUAGGGGCCCCUUUGCCCUAAAUUUCAGCAGGAAACAAACCAGCAGCCAGAUGUCUGACUCCUCCACCCCAUUGGCAGGGAUUGGCCAUCUUCCAUGGACACUUCCGGGCCUGUCCUCUGUUAGAGAUCUUUCAGCUUCUUCAUGCUCCGUCUCCUUCAGCUCAGACACAGGAACACCCCCCGGAAGAGAAGCAAAAUGCAGCCAGCCAGGAGUGGGCAAUGCGUGGGAGAUCCCUAUGCCCUAGCAGCCAGUGGGCGGUUGAGGUCUCAGAGAGGGUGUGUGCGGGGAGGGCCGCUGCUCCCUUCCUAGAUGCAUUUGUUCUGUCCCUGAAUUCAAGUCUAGAGAAGACUGGAGGCUUUGAUCAAAGAUGAGAUAAUUAAACCAACGUACGACUUCAAGAACACACGGAGGAAGAGACACGCAGCUGCUGUCACAUCAAAGUAUUUGUGGAAACACAAGAGGCAAGGUCAUGCUGUGCAGCCCAGGUUGGCCUUGAACUCACAGUCUUCCUGUCUUGGCUUUCCAAGUGCCAGGAUUACAGGCCUGUGCCACCACGCCCAGGUUUGAAAAAUACACAUGAAAGGAAUGAGAAGUGACUCUGCUUUCCAAGUCGGCACUCGGGGUCGGUUUAUGGGGGAUGGAAAGUUCUCCAAGAAGAGCCUGUGAGCCAGGUGGAGAGCUGCGAGAAGCCUCUUGGAACAGGGUUGCAAGGGAUGCCCAGUUGACAGCACAGACUCCAGUGUUCACCCCAUCCAUCCCUGUUCUCUCCGGGGCUUUCCUCACACGCCUCUGGCUCUACAGAUGUAAGCCUCCGUCCCGUUGUUUCUAAAAGGGAGAGUCGCUGAUCUUUGUGCCUCAGUUUCUCCACUUGUAAAAUGGGCAGAGUUCGUAUCUGACGGUUUUCCUGGAGGAGUUUAAGCGAAGAGCUGCCACAGUUAGCACAUGGCAGACUCUUUAUGAGCUUCUGUUCUGGCGAAUUUUCUUUCCCUUGUCACGGAAGGCACCUACCUGUCUGUGCACCUGUUGGGCAGAGGGUUCCCACAGAAUGCAAGUGUCCCCUCUUCAGCAUUUCCCAUAGGGACUUACCUAGGUCUUUGUCCUCUGGCUGUUUCUAAAAGGAGAGAUACUUCCAGGCCCUGACACCCGUUCCCAAGCUUUCUGGGUUGGGAGGGCAUUGCCCUCUGCUGCGGUCCAGGCAUGUCCAUUAAAGAUCUGUUGGAAGCUUGGUCUUAAACAUGGUGGUACAGUGGUGAUACAGGCCUUUAAGAGGUGGGGCUCAUGACAGGCCUCUCAGCCAGUGGAGAGCUGUCUUCAGAGGGUGUUAGUGUAGCUCUCGGGACACCUGAGGUCUUUAGUUGUUGGGAGAGUGGGCCUGCCCUCUGACCUGGUCUUGGGCUUCCUGUUUGAACAUGUGAUCUCUUCCUUCCACACUGACCCCCACACACACCACUGCGAUACCUUCUGCCAUGAUGCCUUCAUCUAGACAUCCUCCAAAGCGAUGAUACAAACUGUCAGCUCUCGACGUGACAGGAACUCGGGAAGGGGAGACCUCAAACGAUGAAUUGCCCACAUCAGACUGGCCUGUGACGGUGUUUGUGAGGCUUUUUCUUAAGGGGAAGAGCGCCCAGCCCACUGUGGGUGGCCAUCCCUAGGGAGGGGGCCUGGCUUCAUAACACAUACAGCUGAGAAAUCCAGAGGGAACAAGGAUUUCCUUGCCCUGGUUUCCCUCAAUGACAGGCCAACCUGUAAGAUGAAGUUAACCCCUUCCUCCCCCAACUUUGCAUGUGUCUGUGUUUUAUCACAGCGGCUGAAGGAAACAAGACAGAGACUUCUUUUCUUCCAUACUAACUCACCUCAGAUAUUCUGUUAUAGUAGAAUAAUGGACUGGUAUAUCAUGGCAAGGUCACUGUGGGAAGUGUGUGCCCCUCCUGUCCUGAGUCCACAGCCAAGAGCUUUAUCACUGAUGUUGUCAGUUGUUCACUUCAUAGAACUGAGGACAGAGGGAGAGACAGAGAGAGAGAAGACUGAAAAAAAGAAACCAGAGCCCCAACCAUAAUGUAACUGAAGCCCAAGAAGGGGUUCUGCUGUUAGCUUUGUGUUCUAAACAAGGACUUAAUUGAAAGUGGUAAUAAGAGAAAAUAACGGCACUUACAAACCUAGGGCCCGAGCAGUUUGGGUUCUGGGCCGUGGGUCAGAGCAGGCUCUCUAAGCCAACUGAGAUGCCCAUGGCUUCUGAUAUUAGUUACCUAGGGAUGCCAAGCUGCAGGCAGGGUCUGCACAGCUCUGCAGAUUCACCAUCAGGCCGAGGGUCACCCAGAUGCCAGACCUUGGGGAAAGCCUGUGGUUUGAGGACAUUACCUGAUGUCCCUCUGGGAAGGACACUCAACUGAGGUGCCGUGUGAAAUCUCCACGGCCAGGACUCACUUUACAUUCCAUCCUCUCCAGUCCCAUGGAUACGGGUCUACUGAAACAGCCCAUUAGUUCUGUCUUCCAGACGCCAUCAUUGUUUUAUCUGAGCAUCGGGGGAGGCAGAUGGUUUAUUGGAAUGUUUUGUGGAUGAACUCAGAUAUUAAACUUUUCUUCUACUCCA